CCUACGGGGGGCUGCAGUGGGGAAUAUUGGACAAUGGGCGCAAGCCUGAUCCAGCAAUGCCGCGUGAGUGAUGAAGGCCUUCGGGUUGUAAAGCUCUUUUACCUGCGACGAUGAUGACGGUAGCAGGAGAAUAAGCCCCGGCUAACUUCGUGCCAGCAGCCGCGGUAAUACGAAGGGGGCUAGCGUUGUUCGGAAUUACUGGGCGUAAAGGGCGCGUAGGCGGCCCUGUCAGUCAAGCGUGAAAGCCCCGGGCUCAACCUGGGAAUUGCGCCUGA
rnacentral:rRNA from 1 species